AGCUUUGUGCAGUGGCAGUAUUGUACAUAGCCAAUGAGGUUUCUUCAAGGCACAAUUAUUGCUAAUCGAAAACUUUUCCCAAUACUCCUCUGUGAAGACUUGCAAUAUAGCUGGUAUUGACAACUUUUGGCAGUCUCUAGGAAGA